GAAAAAGAAAAUGAAAAAAGAACCAAGGAUUUAAUUCCUAUUUGCUUUCUAAAAGCUAGUAAUAAUCAUCUACAAUCCAACAGUAUUUUAUUUUUAGUAAACCAAUUACAAUUUUACAGUAACUAUAGUUGUUGCCGAGUAUGAAAUGUCACAAAAAAUGCAACAGCAUUCCCGUUUUCUUUAGGUCUCUAUUUUGCACGUUGUUUGCUUGCUUUUUGUAAGGGCUCCAGAAACCCUGCACUCGCCUUCACGCCAAGGUAACGAUAGAUACAAUACAAUUGUUGUACUGAUUUAACUACAGUUGUAUAAAAUACUGGUAGUGCGACUCUAAUGUAAACAAGCCCUCAAUGAUUACUGGAGGCAAGGCAACAGGAAGAACUACCCCAGAAACUUUACUCUGAAAGCACCUGCGUUUCUGAAGGCCCUCAUGAAAGCACGAAAUCAUAACCAAACGAUCCCCUUUCAUCUCUGCCCUCUGAACCCUUGGCCGUCUGCAGAUUCUCCUAGUAUUAAGCUGAGAAGGAGGCUCCGUUUUCAGUCCUUCCCCGAGGGAAAGGUGCCAGGCGGCAGCUGCCCGACUGCUCCAGCCAACACGAAACUCUCUGGCCGGCGUCCGCGCGCGAGGGGGAGACGGCGACCACCCCGUCACCGAGCGUGGGGAUGGCUCUCGCCGCUACGUGAACGGAGUGCAGCACACCUUAGAAGGACUGAAUGCUUCAUUCCCCACUCAGAAACAGGGAGGAAUUUAACCCCAAAGGACGCUGAACCACAUGGGGCCAAGUGAAGGAGCUGCCACCGGCAUCUGUGGAGCUAUCCCAAUUUGAAGUCUAUUCCAGUACUUACAUUCCAGUCACAUCCGAGGUCAGCGUGCAGUCAAGCCAUAAAGCUUGGGCAUGACCUUCCCAAAGAUCCUUUGCAAGCCCAUCAUACAAGGCUCAAGGAAGCAAUACCUUGCACUGUUGCAAUUCCACGCGUUACUCGGAGCAUACAUUGCAGCCAUCCGCCUAAGCAGCGUGCCUAGGAGAGUGCUAUUUGUUUUAGGCCUGUCCUGGUGAUUUCUCCCUGAUCACGAGACCCUGCAUGCACUGGUCUAUUCGUGAGCACAUACUGUGUCAGCCAGGAGCUUACAUCUCCACUGUCGAAUCAUCCUGUUGUUGUCAAAUGGACAGGCUCCCUGUAUUACAUAUUAUGUAUUUACUUGUUGUAUUUUCUCCACCAUGGCUAUCAGUCAGGACACACCAAUCUAGAAGCAUGUGUCAGGGGCACAAAGGACUCUGUAGAGGUACCGCUGGCGUAGGUCAUGNNNNNNNNNNNNNAUCCAGGCAGGUAGUCCUGUCACAUCUGUACCGUAUCUCUCUUGCUAAUACUGGAAGACGGGUACCUCUUAGCCAUCCUUCGUAGUUUCACUCUCAGCUUACCUCACCCUCAACUUCUGGUUGCUUUGGUUACAUGCAAACUGCUGUGUUUCGGAGUUCUAGAAAUUGUAAAUGAAGGUACUUUUUCCGCCUUUAAAAAUGUAUUGUUUUUUCCUUAGAGGGCACACACUUCUUGGCUUGUAGCGGUAAAGGAAAUUUGCAUGGCAUUGAUAAGGCACACUCUCCUCUUUGGGAGUUUUUUUCCUCUUUCACCCUUGCUCAUCAUCCUGGCCGCCAUGUUUUAAUGUUGCUGUGGUUUCAUUGCUUGCAUUCCAAAUAUCAUGUACAUUUACUGUAAAAACAUCUAAUACAGUUAGGCAAAUUGUUUCCUUUUUAAUAUUCAAUUUAUUUAUUUAUCCAUCCAUCCAC
rnacentral:lncRNA from 1 species